rnacentral:rRNA from 1 species
CCUUGACAUACUAAGAACUUUCCAGAGAUGGAUUGGUGCCUUCGGGAACUUAGAUACAGGUGCUGCAUGGCUGUCGUCAGCUCGUGUCGUGAGAUGUUGGGUUAAGUCCCGCAACGAGCGCAACCCUUUUCCUUAUUUGCCAGCGGGUCAUGCCGGGAACUUUAAGGAUACUGCCAGUGACAAACUGGAGGAAGGCGGGGACGACGUCGAGUCAUCAUGGCCCUUACGGCCAGGGCUACACACGUGCUACAAUGGUCGGUACAAAGGGUUGCUACCUCGCGAGAGGAUGCUAAUCUCAAAAAGCCGAUCGUAGUCCGGAUCGCAGUCUGCAACUCGACUGCGUGAAGUCGGAAUCGCUAGUAAUCGCGGAUCAGAAUGCCGCGGUGAAUACGUUCCCGGGCCUUGUACACACCGCCCGUCACACCAUGGGAGUUUGUUGCACCAGAAGUAGGUAGUCUAACCGCAAGGAGGACGCUUACCACGGUGUGGCCGAUGACUGGGGUGAAGUCGUAACAAGGUAAGCGUAGAUGA